AUUGAACGCUGGCGGCAUGCCUUACACAUGCAAGUCGAACGGUAACGGGCCUUCGGGCGCCGACGAGUGGCGAACGGGUGAGUAAUACAUCGGAACGUGCCGAUCGUGGGGGAUAACGAGGCGAAAGCUUUGCUAAUACCGCAUACGAUCUACGGAUGAAAGCAGGGGACCGCAAGGCCUUGCGCGGACGGAGCGGCCGAUGGCAGAUUAGGUAGUUGGUGGGAUAAAAGCUUACCAAGCCGACGAUCUGUAGCUGGUCUGAGGGGAUGAUCAGCCACACUGGGACUGAGACACGGCCCAGACUCCUACGGGAGGCAGCAGUGGGGAAUUUUGGACAAUGGGCGCAAGCCUGAUCCAGCCAUGCCGCGUGCAGGAUGAAAGCCUUCGGGUUGUAAACUGCUUUUGUACGGAACGAAAAGCCUUCUUUUAAUACAGGAGGGUCAUGACGGUACCGUAAGAAUAAGCACCGGCUAACUACGUG
rnacentral:rRNA from 1 species